rnacentral:rRNA from 1 species
AUUGAACGCUGGCGGCAGGCCUAACACAUGCAAGUCUAGCGAGCGGCGGACGGGUGAGUAAUGUAUGGGGACUGCCCGAUAGAGGGGGAUAACUACUGGAAACGGUGGCUAAUACCGCAUACUAUCGGAUAACCCAUAUGGGAUUAGCUAGUAGGUGGGGUAAAGGCUCACCUAGGCGACGAUCCCUAGCUGGUCUGAGAGGAUGGUCGGCCAAACCGGGACUGAGACACGGCCCAGAAUCCUACGGAGGCAGCAGUGGGGAAUAUUGCACAAUGGGCGCAAGCCGGAUGCAGCAAGGCCGCGUGUAUGAAGAAGGCCAUAGAGUUGUAAAGUACUUUCAGUCGGGAGGAGUUACCGGAAGAAGAAGAACGGGAUAACUCCAUGCCAGCAGCCGCGGUAAUUC